rnacentral:rRNA from 1 species
UACAGAGGUGGCAAGCGUUGUUCGGAAUUACUGGGCGUAAAGGGCGCGUAGGCGGUCUUGCAAGUCCUGUGUGAAAUCCCUCGGCUCAACUGAGGAACUGCACAGGAAACUGCUUGGCUUGAGUUCGGGAGAGGGAAGCGGAAUUCCGGGUGUAGCGGUGAAAUGCGUAGAUAUCGUAAGGAAGACCAGCGGCGAAGGCGAGUUCCUGGACAGUUACUGACGCUGAGGCACGAAGGCCAGGGGAGCAAACGGG